rnacentral:rRNA from 1 species
ACAACUUCAGCAACGGAUCUCUUGGCUCUCGCAUCGAUGAAGAUCGCAGCGAAAUGCGAUAAGUAAUGUGAAUUGCAGAAUUCAGUGAAUCAUCGAAUCUUUGAACGCACCUUGCGCUCCUUGGUAUUCCGAGGAGCAUGCCUGUUUGAGUGUCAUU